CACGUAGGGCGCAAGCGUUGUCCGGAAUUAUUGGGCGUAAAGAGCUCGUAGGCGGUCUGUUGCGUCCGCUGUGAAAACUCGGGGCUUAACCCCGAGCCUGCAGUGGAUACGGGCAGACUAGAGGUAGGUAGGGGAGAAUGGAAUUCCCGGUGUAGCGGUGAAAUGCGCAGAUAUCGGGAAGAACACCGGUGGCGAAGGCGGCCUGCUGGGCAGUAGCUGACACUGAGGCGCGACAGCGUGGGGAGCAAACAGG
rnacentral:rRNA from 1 species